UACGUAGGUGGCAAGCGUUGUCCGGAAUUAUUGGGCGUAAAGCGCGCGCAGGCGGCCCUUUAAGUCUGGUGUGAAAUCUUGCGGCUUAACCGCAAGCGGUCAUUGGAAACUGGAGGGCUUGAGUGCAGAAGAGAAGAGUGGAAUUCCACGUGUAGCGGUGAAAUGCGUAGAGAUGUGGAGGAACACCAGUGGCGAGGGCGACUCUUUGGUCUGUUACUGACGCUGAGGCGCGAAAGCGUGGGGAGCAAACAGG
rnacentral:rRNA from 1 species